rnacentral:lncRNA from 1 species
CGCCCGAGCCGAGCGGGCGAGCGGAGCUGCGGGGAGCGCGGGCGAAGGCGGCAGGAGGGAGGGCGCGCGGGAGGCGGCCCCUCCUCGGCGAGCCAUGCGUGCCGCGGGCAGCUGAGGAGCCGCCGGGCGCCGCUGCCAAGUCCCCGCUCCGCUUUUGUCUUGCCCUCCAGUGAAUGGGAAGAUGGANCCCAGCAGCGGCCCCAGCCCCAGCCCCAGCAGCGGCCCCAGCCCCAGCAGCGGCCCCAGCAGCUGGCUCAGGAUGAAGUGCCCGGCGAGAGUGCGGGCGCGGAGGACAGCGACGAUCCCGAGGCGACACCCGGCAGCGACAGAGGCGAGAGCAAGCCACAGGAUGGCAAAGAUCUCCAGAGGCAUUAAGACACAAACCAAAGAACUUUUCAACAUCUCAGCAUCUCUGGUAAGAGUAAUGUGGUCCAAAAGCUUAAAGACAUUUCUGGAUGACUGGUUCAAGGACUUUCAAUGA